ACACCCGUAGCUCAGCUGCUAAAAAGAGAAGCACUACCUGCUCUUUUGAAAGCUGGUGGUAGGGGGCGGUAUUCUCUAACAAAGAGAAGUCCACUCGGGUGUACCA
rnacentral:tRNA from 1 species